rnacentral:rRNA from 1 species
UCUCAAGGGUAAUACCCUUUUGAGCGUUGACGUUACCCACAGAAGAAGCACUGGCUAACUCUGUGCCAGCAGCCGCGGUAAUACAGAGAGUGCAAGCGUUAAUCGGAAUCACUGGGCGUAAAGCGCGCGUAGGUGGAUAUUUAAGUCGGAUGUGAAAGCCCUAGGCUUAACCUGGGAAUUACAUCCGAUACUAGGUAUCUCGAGUAUGAUAGAGGGAAGUGGAAUUUCCGGUGUAGCGGUGAAAUGCGUAGAUAUCGGAAAGAACAUCAGUGGCGAAGGCGGCUUCCUGGAGCAAUACUGACACUGAGGCGCGAAAGCGUGGGGAGCAAACAGGAUUAGAGACCCUGGUAGUCCACGCCGUCAACGAUGAGAACUAGCUGUUGGAAAGUUUACUUUCUAGUAGCAAAGCUAACGCGUUAAGUUCUCCGCCUGGGGAGUACGGCCGCAAGGUUAAAACUCAAAGAAAUUGACGGGGGCCCGCACAAGCGGUGGAGCAUGUGGUUUAUUUCGAUGCAA